AAAAGGAAGGCUCACUGUAAAAAAACUAAUCUCCCUUUCUAUAUGUUUAAUUAUUUUUUUUAAUCUUUUGUUAUAUAAUGAAAAAUUCUCAUCUUAUGCAGGGAUUGUGGUGUAUUUGUGGCUGCCUUUGUGGAGUAUAUUAGCAUUGGUGAUUUGUCUAUCCCAAAGGAAGAUCUCUUAGCACCUAAUCUACUUUUGGAUACCGCAAGCACAAAUCAGUUGUGACUUUUAAAUAUCUCAAUAAUCUUUUGACUGCAGUCAAGUGUGACUCCUUUGGAUCUGCUUGGAAACGAUCACAAAGUCCUACACAGAAAACAAUGUCAGGUCUGUUGGCAGUAAGAAACAAAAGUGAACCAAUCAUACCCUUGUACACCUUUUGAUCAACUGAUGAACCAUGUUCAUCAGCAUCUAACUUUGUGGUAGUUGCAAUAGGAGUAUUUAUUUCUUUGGAUUCUUCCAUUUUAAAUUUCUU
rnacentral:lncRNA from 1 species